AGCAGCCGCGGUAAUUCCAGCUCCAAUAGCGUAUAUUAAAGUUGUUGCAGUUAAAAAGCUCGUAGUUGAAUUUCGGGAUCAAUUAAUUGGUCGUGCCUAUGGUACGUACUGAUUUUAUUGGUUUCUCCCUUCUGACGAACCAUGAUGUCAUUAAUUUGGUGUCGUGGAGAAUCAGGACUGUUACUUUGAAAAAAUUAGAGUGUUUAAAGCAGGCUAACGCUUGAAUACAUUAGCAUGGAAUAAUGAAAUAGGACGUUUGAUCCUAUUUUGUUGGUUUCUAGGAUCGACGUAAUGAUUAAUAGGGAUAGUUGGGGGCAUUAGUAUUCAAUUGUCAGAGGUGAAAUUCUUGGAUUUAUUGAAGACUAACUACUGCGAAAGCAUUUGCCAAGGAUGUUUUCAUUAAUCAAGAACGAAAGUUAGGGAUCGAAGACGAUCAGAUACCGUCGUAGUCUUAGCCAUAAACUAUAGCCGACUAGGGAUCGGAUGAUGUUAAUUUUUUAAUUGUACUCAUUCGGCGUCC
rnacentral:misc_RNA from 1 species